rnacentral:rRNA from 1 species
GACGAACGCUGGCGGCGUGCUUAACACAUGCAAGUCGAACGGAAAGGCCCUGCUUUUGUGGGGUUCUCGAGUGGCGAACGGGUGAGUAACACGUGAGUAACCUGCCCUUGACUUUGGGAUAACUUCAGGAAACUGGGGCUAAUACCGGAUAGGAGCUCCUGCUGCAUGGUGGGGGUUGGAAAGUUUCGGCGGUUGGGGAUGGACUCGCGGCUUAUCAGCUUGUUGGUGGGGUAGUGGCUUACCAAGGCUUUGACGGGUAGCCGGCCUGAGAGGGUGACCGGCCACAUUGGGACUGAGAUACGGCCCAGACUCCUACGGGAGGCAGCAGUGGGGAAUAUUGCACAAUGGGCGGAAGCCUGAUGCAGCAACGCCGCGUUCGGGAUGACGGCCUUCGGGUUGUAAACCGCUUUCGCCUGUGACGAAGCGUGAGUGACGGUAAUGGGUAAAGAAGCACCGGCUAACUACGUG